rnacentral:rRNA from 1 species
UGAACCUGAGAGUUUGAUCCUGGCUCAGAGCGAACGCUGGCGGCAUGCUUAACACAUGCAAGUCGCACGAACCUUUCGGGGUUAGUGGCGGACGGGUGAGUAACGCGUAGGAACCUAUCUGGAGGUGGGGGAUAACAUCGGGAA